rnacentral:rRNA from 1 species
GACGAACGCUGGCGGCGUGCCUAAUACAUGCAAGUCGAGCGAACAGGUGAGGAGUUUGCCCCUCUGAUGUUUUGGGCAGACGGGUGAAAAACACAUGGAUAACCUCCCUAUGAGACUGGGAAAACUUCGGAAAACCGGAGCAAAUCCCGGAAAAGUUAUUGAUCCGCAUGGUUUAAUAGUGAAAGACGGUUUUACUGUUACUUAUAGAAGGAUCCGCGCCUUAUUAACUAGUUGGUAAGGUAACGGCUUACGAAGGCAACAAUGCGUAGCCGACCUGAGAGGGGGAUCGGCCACACUGGAACUGAGACACGGUCCGGACUCCUAGGGGAGGCGCAGGUGGGGAAUUUUGCGAAAUGGGCGAAGGCCUGCCGGAGCAACGCCGCGUGAGUGAUGAGGUUCUUCGGAUCUAAAAACUCUGUUAUUGGGGAAGACGAAAUGUGUAGGUGACUGUGCACGUCUUGACGGUACCUAAUCAGAAAGCGACGGCUAACUACGUG